GCGAAGGUGGCGGAAUUGGUAGACGCGCUAGCUUCAGGUGUUAGCGUCCUUACGGACGUGGGGGUUCAAGUCCCCCCCCUCGCA
rnacentral:tRNA from 1 species